CAGAGCUACCAGAUGUGGCAGCCAUGAGCUCAAGGUUGUCGGAUCUAGCGUCUUCGAGCUCAUCGCCGCUGGAUCUAGUGGUCCAG
rnacentral:pre_miRNA from 1 species